rnacentral:rRNA from 1 species
AACGAACGCUGGCGGCGUGCCUAACACAUGCAAGUCGAGCGCGAAAAGGGCAACCUGAGUAGAGCGGCGCACGGGUGCGUAACACGUGGGUAAUCUGCCUUAGAGUCGAGGAUAACCUUCCGAAAGGUUGGCUAAUACUCGGUAAGCUUACGGUGUCUUCGGACGCUGUGGGAAAAGUAGGCCUCUGUUUACAAGCUUACGCUCUGAGAUGAGCCCGCGGCCCAUCAGCUAGUUGGCGGUGUAACGGACCACCAAGGCAACGACGGGUAGCUGGUCUGAGAGGGCGAUCAGUCACACUGGAGCUGAGACACGGUCCAGACUCCUACGGGAGGCAGCAGUGGGGAAUUUUCCACAAUGGGCGAAAGCCUGAUGGAGCAACGCCGCGUGUGUGAUGAAGGUUUUCGGAUCGUAAAGCACUUUCGACCGGGACGAAAAACCUCUGGCUAACAUCCAGGGGCCUGACGGUACCGGGAGAAGAAGCACCGGCUAACUCUGUGCCAGCCGCCGCGGUAA